CCUACGGGUGGCUGCAGUGGGGAAUAUUGGACAAUGGGGGCAACCCUGAUCCAGCCAUGCCGCGUGUGUGAAGAAGGCCCUCGGGUUGUAAAGCACUUUCAGUGAGGAAGAACGCCUGGUGGUUAAUACCCAUCAGGAAAGACAUCACUCACAGAAGAAGCACCGGCUAACUCCGUGCCAGCAGCCGCGGUAAUACGGAGGGUGCGAGCGUUAAUCGGAAUUACUGGGCGUAAAGCGCGCGUAGGUGGCUUGAUAAGCCGGUUGUGAAAGCCCCGGGCUCAGCCUGGGAACGGCAUCCGGAACUGUCAAGCUAGAGUGCAGGAGAGGAAGGUAGAAUUCCCGGUGUAGCGGUGAAAUGCGUAGAGAUCGGGAGGAAUACCAGUGGCGAAGGCGGCCUUCUGGACUGACACUGACACUGAGGUGCGAAAGCGUGGGUAGCAAACAGGAUUAGAUACCCGAGUAGUC
rnacentral:rRNA from 1 species